UGCCUUAGUAACUGCGAGUGAAGCGGCAAAAGCUCAAAUUUGAAAUCUGGCGUCUUCGGCGUCCGAGUUGUAAUUUGGAGGGAUAUCUUCGGGGUUGGCGCCGUCCUAAGUUCCUUGGAACAGGACGUCAUAGAGGGUGAGAAUCCCGUGCCUGGAUGGCUGCCCAACUCCAUGUGAAGUGUCUCCGACGAGUCGAGUUGUUUGGGAAUGCAGCUCAAAAUGGGUGGUAAAUUUCAUCUAAAGCUAAAUAUUGGCGAGAGACCGAUAGCGCACAAGUAGAGUGAUCGAAAGAUGAAAAGCACUUUGAAAAGAGAGUUAAAAAGUACGUGAAAUUGUUGAAAGGGAAGCGCUUGCGACCAGACUCGAUCUUUGGUGAUCAGCCGGGCUUCUGUCCGGUGCCCUUGCCAUUGAUUGGGCCAGCAUCGGUUCCGACGGCGGGAUAAAAGGAGGAGGAAUGUGGCUCCCUUCGGGGAGUGUUAUAGCCUCCUUCACAAUGCCGCCAGUUGGGACCGAGGACCGCGCUUCGGCUAGGAUGCUGGCAUAAUGGUCUUAAGCGACCCGUCUUGAAACACGGACCAAGGAGUCUAACAUCUAUGCGAGUGUUCGGGUGGAAAACCCUUGCGCGUAAUGAAAGUGAACGGAGGUGUGAACCCUUCACGGGGUGCAACAUCGACCGGUCCUGAUGUCUUCGGAAGGAUCUGAGUAAGAGCAUAGCUGUUGGGACCCGAAAGAUGGUGAACUAUGCCUGAAUAGGGUGAAGCCAGAGGAAACUCUGGUGGAGGCUCGCAGCGGUUCUGACGUGCAAAUCGAUCGUCAAAUUUGGGUAUAGGGGCGAAAGACUAAUCGAACCA
rnacentral:rRNA from 1 species